rnacentral:rRNA from 1 species
ACGGAAGGCAGCAGUAGGGCAUAUUGCACAAUGGGGGAAACCCUGAUGCAGCAACGCCACGUGUGGGAAGAAGCAUUUCGGUGUGUAAACCACUGUCGUGAGGGAAUAAUGCUUGGCUUCGGCCAAGUUGAAUGUACCUCGAAAGGAAGCACCGGCAAACUUCGUGCCAGCAGCCGCGGUAAUACGAGGGGUGCAAGCGUUGUUCGGAAUCACUGGGCGUAAAGGGAGCGCAGGCGGAGAUGCAAGCAGUCUGUACAAUACCGGGGCCCAACCCCGGACCUGCAGACUGGACUGUGUCUCUUGGAUAGUUCAGGGGCAAGCGGAAUUCCUGGUGUAGCGGUGGAAUGCUUAGAGAUCAGGAAGAACACCGAUGGCGGAGGCAGCUUGCUGGGGAAUUAUCGACGCUCAUGCUCGAAAGUGCGGGUAGCAAACAGGAUUAGAUACCCUGGUA